UACGUAGGGGGGCUAGCGUUGUCCGGAAUCAUUGGGCGUAAGAGCGUGUAGGCGGUCCGGUAAGUCCGCUGUGAAAGUCGGGGGGCUCAACCCUCGAAUGCCGGUGGAUACUGUCGGGCUAGAGUGCGGAAGAGGCGAGUGGAAUUCCUGGUGUAGCGGUGAAAUGCGCAGAUAUCAGGAGGAACACCUAUUGCGAAGGCAGCUCGCUGGGACGUAACUGACGCUGGAGACGCGAAAGCGUGGGGAGCAAACAGG
rnacentral:rRNA from 1 species